GCAAGAGAAUCAGGAAUUCGAAGCCAGUCUUCACAAAAUAGUGAAUGAAAGCUUCCAUGGGAUGUUUCGAUUUUCUCACGAAAUGGGGGAGAUCCACAUUUGUUUCAUUAAACGCAGCGGGUCCGGAACUUGUAUUGUUUGGAUUGGGAAAUACAUCAUCUAUUCUCUCCGGGAGAACUGAGGAACUUGAGACGGAUUUCAAACCAAAACAGGAGACAAAGGAGUGGAGCCCAAAGGGAAGCACAGAUACAACUAUUCCAGACACACCAGGAGACAAGAAGAGGUCUCGAGAUGACUGAGAAUGUGAGGC
ensembl:lncRNA